rfam:Alistipes shahii WAL 8301 draft genome.
UAUAUUUGCCCCAGAUUUGGUUUUCCGUUCCCCGUGCCGGGGAGGAAAUGAAAAGGGAAUCGGGUGCAAAUCCCGGACAGUCCCGCUGCUGUGAAACUCCGUGAAGGUUUCGAACAUCUCAGCCACUGAUCCGCAAGGAUCGGGAAGGCUUCGGAACAGGAGUCAGUCAGAAGACCUGCCAAGUCGAUUCGAUGUCA